rnacentral:rRNA from 1 species
AUUGAACGCUGGCGGAAUGCUUUACACAUGCAAGUCGAACGGCAGCACGGACUUCGGUCUGGUGGCGAGUGGCGAACGGGUGAGUAAUACAUCGGAACGUGCCCAAUCGUGGGGGAUAACGUAGCGAAAGCUACGCUAAUACCGCAUACGAUCUAAGGAUGAAAGCGGGGGAUCGCAAGACCUCGCGCGAUUGGAGCGGCCGAUGGCAGAUUAGGUAGUUGGUAGGGUAAAGGCCUACCAAGCCGACGAUCUGUAGCGGGUCUGAGAGGAUGAUCAGCCACACUGGGACUGAGACACGUCCCAGACUCCUACGGGAGGCAGCAGUGGGGAAUUUUGGACCAUGGGCGCAAGCCUGAUCCAGCCAUGCCGCGUGCAGGAUGAAGGCCUUCGGGUUGUAAACUGCUUUUGUACGGAACGAAACGGCUCUUUCUAAUAAAGAGGGCUAAUGACGGUACCGUAAGAAUAAGCACCGGCUAACUACGUGCCAGCAGCCGCGGUAA